rnacentral:rRNA from 1 species
UACGUAGGGUGCGAGCGUUAAUCGGAAUUACUGGGCGUAAAGCGUGCGCAGGCGGUUCGUUAAGUCAGAUGUGAAAGCCCCGAGCUCAACUUGGGAACUGCAUUUGAAACUGGCGGGCUGGAGUGUGGCAGAGGGGGGUGGAAUUCCACGUGUAGCAGUGAAAUGCGUAGAGAUGUGGAGGAACACCGAUGGCGAAGGCAGCCCCCUGGGCUAACACUGACGCUCAUGCACGAAAGCGUGGGGAGCAAACAGG